UAGGGGGCAAGCGUUGUCCGGAAUCAUUGGGCGUAAAGAGCGUGUAGGCGGUCCGGUCAGUCGGUUGUGAAAGUCAAGGGCUCAACCCUUGAAUGCCGGCCGAUACUGCCGGGCUAGAGUUCGGAAGAGGCGAGUGGAAUUCCCGGUGUAGCGGUGAAAUGCGCAGAUAUCGGGAGGAACACCUAUGGCGAAGGCAGCUCGCUGGGACGUUACUGACGCUGAGACGCGAAAGCGUGGGGAGCAAACAGG
rnacentral:rRNA from 1 species